rfam:Triticum aestivum genome assembly, contig: Triticum_aestivum_CS42_TGACv1_scaffold_591783_7BS
GUGUUACUCCCUCCGUCUGAAAAAGCUUGUCCCUCAAAUGGAUGUAUCUAGCACCAAGUUAGUGCUAGAUACAUCUAUUAAGGAACAAGCUUGGGACAAGUUUUUUCGGACGGAGGGAGUACCUA